CUGCCCAUCACAAGGGGAGGUGCUUGCAAACCCGUGCUAAUCCCGCCCAACAGUCUAAACCGCGCGGUUUUAAUUUGAAGAGCCCUCUCGGGUGUCGCCCAUGGGUGGACCCGGGGUGCUAUAUCUUUUUUGUGAUGUAACGGCUCACCAAGGCCAGGAUGCAGAGCCAACCUGAGGGGGUGAUCGGCCACAUCGGGACUGAGACACGGCCCAAACUCCUACUUGAGGCAGCAGUAGGGAAUCUUCGGGGUGGACGAGGUCUGACCGAGCAACGCCUCGGUGUGAAGAACGUCUUCUGAUCAUAGAACUCUGUUGUUAGAGAACAACAGCGAAGAGAGUAACUGUUCAUCCCUGGACGGCUCUAACCUGGUGCCACGGCUAAUUACAUGCCAGCAGCCUCGCUAAUACGCACGUUGCAGACGUUUUCCUGAGUUAUUGGGCGUAAAGCGAGCGCAGCUGUUUCUUUACUCUGAUGUGAAAGCCCCCGGCUCGCCGGGGAUGGUCAUUGGAAACUGGGAGACUUGAGUGCAGAACACGACAGUGGAAUUCCAUGUGUAGCGGUGAAAUGCGUAGAUAUGUGGAGGAACACCAGUGGCGAACGCGGCUCUCUGGUCUGUAACUGACGCUCAGGCUCGAAAGCGUGGGGAGCAAACAGGAUUAGAUACCCUUGUUUUUCCACGCCAUAAACGAUGAGGGCUAUCUGUUGGAGGGUUUCCGCCCUUCAUUUCUGCAUCUCACGCAAUACUCACC
rnacentral:rRNA from 1 species